rnacentral:rRNA from 1 species
GACGAACGCUGGCGGCGUGCUUAACACAUGCAAGUCGAACGGUGACCCAGGGCUUGCCCUGGUGAUCAGUGGCGAACGGUGAGUAACACGUGGGCAACCUGCCCCUGACUUCGGGAUAACUCCUCGAAAGAGGAGCUAAUACCGGAUACGACCACUUCGGACAUCCGAUGGUGGUGGAAAGUUUUUCGGUCAGGGAUGGGCCCGCGGCCUAUCAGCUAGUUGGUGGGGUAAUGGCCUACCAAGGCGACGACGGGUAGCCGGCCUGAGAGGGCGACCGGCCACACUGGGACUGAGACACGGCCCAGACUCCUACGGGAGGCAGCAGUGGGGAAUAUUGCGCAAUGGGCGAAAGCCUGACGCACGCGACGCCGCGUGAGGGAUGAAGGCCUCGGUGUAACCUCUUUCAGCAGGACGAAGCGAAAGUGACGGUACCUGCAGAAGAAGCACCGGCUAACUACGUGCCAGCAGCCGCGGUAAU